CAAAGCUAGAAAACUAUGAAAGCUAUCCAGUUUGCUCAUCGAUAAACAUACAAAAUCCGCCGCUCCAGACUAAACAAAGAUAAUAUAUGAAGUCGCAAACAAAAUUGGACAAACUGCAAAGGAAUGUCAUAUGAGAAACUUGCAAUUUAUUCAUUACUUCUGUUACCACAAUUUUCAGUCUUCACGUCGACUACUCGUAACUCUUCACUCCUCAAAUUUGUAGUUAAUCCAUUUUUUUUUCUCAAGCUCUUAUGAUGCCAAAGGCAAUAGAACAGUAGCAAAAUAUUGAAAGAACUGAAGAAAAAUGCUAAGCUAAAGCUAUCUAGGGUUAACUAAUAUAAUUUCAAUUGAUAAAUCUGCCACAAUGCAGAGAAUUCCUAUGGAGCACUAUUAAGAGUUAAGGUUGUACCCUUCUCUACUGACAGUACUAUAAAGAACCAAAAGUGCGAUGAGUAAAGAAAUUACAGACUCCAUUUCUAUUACUGUAAACAUAAACUUAAAACCUAAGAGGGUUACAGUGUAACAACCGAAACUUCUUUUCUAAUAGACUUUAACUAACUUUAACGGUCGAGCACACCUCUGCAAGCAGCAUCUACUACUCCCCCAGCCCAGCAUAAUCCAUUCUUGCAUCAUUGCCCUUCCCUUAAAAACCUUCCUUGUCCUCAAGGAACGAAUGAAGGAAACUUCAUCUUCAUCACUGCAUAGUCUUCCCAGGUAGCUUGUUCCUUCGUCAUUUGGGACCACUGAACCAAAAUUUGAGGAAUUGCCUUGUUUCCCCGUUUGAUCAUCCUUUUGUCUAGGAUCUCUUGAGGCUCCACACAAUAGGGACUAGCAACAUCAAUCACUGGAGGAUGAUUGACUUUAUCUGGUAUGGCAUAACAGGGCUUGAGUUGUGAAACAUGAAAAGUGGGAUGGAUAACAACAUGAGAAGGGAGUGACAGUUUGUAGGCAACUGGACCAACUUUCUGUAGGAUCUGGUAUGGACCAUAAUACUUGGCAGAAAGCUUAGAAAAUAAGUGGUUUGAAAGUGUGAUCUGUCGAUAAGGUUGGAGCUUGAGAUAAGCCCAAUCUCCUUCCUUGAAGUUUCUGUCAGCCCUAUGCUUGUUGGCCAGGCUUGACAUCCUUUGUUGUGCUCUGUGAAUGUGGAACUUCAGCAACUGAACCUUCAACUCCCUAGUAGUGAGGCUUCGAUCCACUUCUUCAUCAGCAGCAUCACCAGGUAGAUAGGGUAGAUGGGUAGGAGGAGGUUGACCAUAGAGGGCUUCAUAAGGUGUGGUCUGAAUGGCUGGAUGGCUGAAUGGAAGGUGGUAUUGUACCACCAUUAUGCUAGUGACAAAUAAGAAGCCCAUUCUGCUAGUGACAAAUGAGAAGCCCAAUCGUGUUGGCUAUAAGCACAGAAACAUCUUAAAUAAGUCUCCACAGUCCUAUUGAGCACCUCUGUUUGACCAUCGGUUUGAGGAUGAUAUGCUAUGGAUGUGCUGAGAGUUACUCCUUACAUGGAAAAAAGAUCCUGCCAAAUUUUGCUAACAAAUAUUGGGUCCCUGUCACUGAUUAUAUUUCCUGGCAUACCAUGUAACUUGUAAACAUGGUCCAAGAACAUCUGAGCCACAGAAGUGGCAGUGUAAGGAUGGCUGAUAGCAAAGAAAUGAGCAUACUUGGUGAGUCUGUCCACCACUACUAAUAUAGUUGUUUUUCCCUUGGGCUUAGGGAGUCCAUCAAUAAAAUCCAUGCUAAUGCUGGACCAAGCAGUGUUAGGAAUCUGCAAUGGCUGUAGCAAUCCCGGAUAGGCACUAUUAUCAUACUUGCUCCUUUGACAUGUUGCACAUUGUCUCACAUAGGUUGCCACAUCUUCCUUGAGCCCCUUCCAAUAGAAAAGAUUAGAUAACCUUUUGUAGGUGUUUUCUACUCCAGAAUGACCACCUAUAUGUUUAUCAUGCCAUAUCUGAAAGAUUUCUUGCUUCAAAGAGCUAUCAUUUCCCACCACUAGCUUGCCCUUCCUUCUCAGUUGUUGGUUCACAAGAUUUAUCAUGCCAUAUCUGAAGGAUAUCUUGCUUCAAAGAACUAUCAUUUCUCACCACUAGCUUGCCCUUCCUUCUUAGUUGUUGGUUCACAAAGGUGUACCCCUUCUGUUCCUCCCCUUGCUCUCGAAUAUGAGCUAUAACAUCUGCAGCUUCCUUGUCCUUCACCCAACUGUCCUUGAUCCUUUGAAAGAGCUCAUGGUUAGUUGGGGUGAGCAGAUUCAUUGCCAAUUCCCUUGAUGGAACUCUGGAUAGGGAAUCAGCUACCUUGUUUUCUCUCCCUUUCUUGUAUUCUAUCACAAAAUCAAAUUGCAUGAGUUUAACUAUCCAUUUCAUUUGUGACCCAGUGUGAAAGCUUCUGGUCUAGCAAGAAUUCAAUGCCUUCUGAUCAGUUCUUACCACAAAAUGUCUUUCCAUUAUAUAUUGUGCCCAUUUGGUAACAACCAUGACAAGGGCUAACAGUUCCUUGUCAUAAACUGACAAAGCCUGGUGCCUCCAUGAGAGACCCUUGCUGAGAUAGGCUAUAGGAUGGCCUUCUUGCAUCAAUACAGCCCCAACACCAUAGUCACAUGCAUCAGUUUCCACUACAAACAUAAGCUGACUAUUUGGAAGUGCCAGCACAAGUGCUGGUGUGAGGGCUGCCUUCAACUGGUUGAAUGCUUCUUCUGCCCUGUUAGACCAUAGGAACCCAUCUUUUUUGAGCAACUCUGUCAAAGGCCUACUGAUCACUCCAUAAUGCUUAAUGAACCUCCUAUAGCAUCCUGCCAGCCCCAAGAAGCCCCUUAGCUCCCUGACAUUCUUUGGUGAAGGACAUAACUGCACUGCUGCAAUUUUGUUAGGGUUGGUAGCUACCCCUUCAGCACAUAUGAUGUGCCCGAAAUAUUCAAUCCGACUAGCCCCAAAAGAACAUUUUGAUUUUCUUGCAAACAGCUUGUGUUUCACCAACAGCUCAAAAAUCAUCCUAAGAUGUAUCAAGUGUUCAGACAUGUUCUUGCUGAAUACUAGGAAUCAAAGAAUACCAAGAUGAAUUUCCUGAGAUGUUCCUUGAACACAUUAUUCAUCAAACUCUGAAAGCAAGAAGGAGAAUUGGUAAGUCCAAAAGGCAUUACCAAAUACUCAUAGUGUCCUGAAUGGGUUCUGAAUGCUGUUUUGGCUAUAUCUUCUGUCGUCAUCCUGAUCUGGUGAUAACCAGACCUAAGGUCUAUCUUGGAGUAGAUCUGUGAACCACCCAAUUCAUCCAGAAGCUCUUCUAUGAUUGGAAUAGGGAAUUUAUCUUUGAUGGUAGCCUUGUUUAAGACCCCGUAAUCAACACAUAGCCUCCAACUUCCAUCUUUCUUUCCCACUAAGACUACUAGGGAAGCAUAAGGGCUGGAACUUGGCUGCACAAUUCCCUGAUCAAGCAUAUCCUGCACCAACCUCUCAAUGAUAUCCUUCUGGGAUGAAGAAUACCUGUAGGUUCUGAGGUUUAUAGGAUUACAUCCUGCCUGCAAUGGUAUCUUGUGAUCAAAGGGUCCUCUAGAAGGAGGUAACCCUUUUGGAUCAGUGAACAGCUGAUGGUACUAUUCAAGUAAUGACUGCAUAUGUGAAGGUAUGUUGCUGCUAGUAUAUGUCUUCUCCUCCUCCCUGGGCAGCACUCUCAGCAUAAAUAGUUGUGCCCCAUUGUUUGCUAGUUUAUCCAACUUCUUAGCCUCCACAGUCUUUAUCUUAUCCACUUCCCCCUUCAAUACACAAUCCUUCCCUUGAUAGUUGUACCCCAAGGUAAGCUCCUUAAAGUUCAGCUUAAGAUCCCCAAAUGGAAGCAACCAUUGCACUCCCAAUAUCAGUUCACAAGAACCUAAUGGAAGCAAUAGAAAAUCUGCUGUGUAAGUGACCCCUUGCAGCAGCCAUGUCAAAUUUUUACAAAGCUCAUGUGACUGCCUAUUGUUCCCAUCUGCCACAUUGAUAGUUUGAGGAUUGAUCUUCAAGGUAGCAAUUCCCAGGCUUCUUGCCACCUCAUCAUCAAUGAAAUUGUGUGUACUACCAUGGUAGACCAAUAUACUUAGUGCUAUUUUCUGGCAAUAACCAGUUUUUCUCAAAUUAUGGAAUUUUGGUACUCCAUGUAGAGCAUUGACUGAUAUUUCACACACUUCUCCCUUCACCUCUUCUCCUGCUUCUUCAGCUACCUCUACAUGCUCCUCUACCAAUACUAAGUCUCAUGUUUCUUCUUCUUCUUGCCUUUCUUAUUCCACCUCCAACAAGUACAAUUGUUUGGAGGCACUGCACUUGUGACUAGGGAAGAAUCUCUCAUCACAGAAAAAACAUAGUCCCUUCUGCCUCUUCUCAUUCAUUUCAGUUGUAGUCAAUUUCCUAGUAUUUCCCUCGUUCCAGUUAGCAUCAGCCUCCCUUUUAAGCAAAUUUCCUUCCUUCUUAAGGAACCCUCAUGUUUUAGUAGAUCCAUAAGUGUUGCCCCUAGUAUGGGAUGACCCUCCUCUAUACAUUGUGGACUUAGUCAUCUUCAGCUGAGCAUUCACUUAAGCUUCAGUGUUCCUAGCCAACUGGUAAGCUUGUGGCAAAGAAAAGGGCCGAUGGUUCUUCACUGUAAACCCAAUUUCUGGUUUGAGACCAGUGAUGAAAGCACUAAUAGCAUAUUCUGGAAGGAUGUGCAGCCUAGUCAUGAUCCUGUCAAACUCCUUCUGGUAGUCUUCCACCAUUCCCACUUGUCUUACUAGCUUAAGCUCAGACAUAGGGUCAGCAUAUUCCGCCCCAAAUCUCUCUAUUAGAGCAUACACAUACUCUUCCCAGCUAGGAUAAGGUAAAUGAGAUCUACUUCUUAAAUAAGCAAGAUGCCAUUCAAUAGCUAUGUCAUCAAAAUGUAUGGAAGCCACCUUAACCCUUUGGUUAUAUUCUACUUCAUCUAGUGAGAAAAAUUGUUCUACCUUACAAAGCCAAGCCCUAAGGUUGAGGCCAUUGAAGCGAGGGAACUCCAGCUUGGUCAUCCUGGUUAGAUUUGUUCCUCUUGGUGAUGUAGCUGUUGAGUUCUGAGCGGCAGGUGCAGGUUCACUCCCAUUCUGUCCAGCUGAGGGUUGUCCUUGAGCAAAGCCACCUCCAAUGUUACCAGCAGCAGCAGAAUGCUGUAAGAGUUGGUAUGUGAGGGGAAGCAGCUCCCCUUGGCCCUUGAAACUGAGGCAUGGGCCCCACCCCAAAUGGUAUGCAGGUGCAGGUUCACCCCCAUUCUGUCCAGCUGAGGGUUGUCCUUGAGCAAAGCCACCUCCAAUGUUACCAGCAGCAGAAUGCCCUUGAGUAGGAGUUGUAAAAGUUGGUCUGUGAGGAGAAGCACCCCCCUUGGCCCUUGAAACUGAGGCAUGGGCCCAAACCCCAAAUGGUAGGCAGCUGGAGAAAACUGAGAGGUAGUAAUACCACCAUGUACCCACGCAGUAGGGUUGCUUGUGGGAGUGUAUAUCUCGCCUCCUCCAUCCAUGUCUUCUAUGCCUUUGCCUCGGUCAUACCUCUUCACAUCAUCAAUAGACUCUUUGAGUUCAGCAAAAGCCCUUUCAUGUUGAUUCUCGAGCUGGGUUUGCCUGACUGAGAAAUUAGCUAUCUCGAUUGUCAUCCUCUCAAACAUAGACUUAAUCUCAUCCAUAUUUGCCAUUGUUAUCACCCACAAAGCUCAAGAAAGUGCUCGUGAUACCAAAUGAUGCCAAAGGCAAUAGAACAGUAGCAAAAUAUUGAAAGAACUGAAGAAAAAUGCUAAGCUAAAGCUAUUCUAGGGUUAACUAAUAUAAUUUCAAUUGAUAAAUCUGCCAAAAUGCAGAAAAUUACAACUAUAUAGAGGACUAUGGACCGCUAUUAAGAGAUAAGAUUGUACCCUUUUCUACUGACAGUACUAUAAAGGACCAAAAGUGCCCUGAGUAAAGAAAUUACAGACUCCAUUGCUAUUACUAUAAACAUAAACUUAAAAC
rnacentral:lncRNA from 1 species